rnacentral:misc_RNA from 1 species
GAUGAAGAACGCAGCGAAAUGCGAUAAGUAAUGCGAAUUGCAGAAUUUCCGUGAGUCAUCGAAUCUUUGAACGCACAUUGCGCCCAUUGGUAUUCCGAUGGGCAUGCCUGUUCGAGCGUCAUUUCACCACUCAAGCCUGGCUUGGUGUUGGGCGACGUCCCCUUUGGGGACGCGCCUUGAAACGCUCGGCGGCGUGGCACCGGCUUUAAGCGUAGCAGAAUCUUUCGCUUUGGAAGUCGGGGCCCCGUCUGCCGGAAGACCUACUCGCAAGGUUGACCUCGGAUCAGGCAGGGAUACCCGCUGAACUUAAGCAUAUCAAUAAGCGGAGGA